GACGAACGCUGGCGGCGUGCCUAAUGCAUGCAAGUCGCACGCACGACCUUUCGGGGUCGUGAGUGGCGCACGGCUGAGGACCACGUGGGAACAUGCCCUCCAGUGGGGGACAACACCGCGAAAGCGGUGCUAAUCCCGCAUACGCUUGGGUGACCAAGGAAAGCUGUCACAGCGCUGGUGGAGUGGCCCGCGGCCCAUCAGGUCGUUGGUGGGGUAACGGCCUACCAAGCCAAUGACGGGUAGCUGGUCUGUGAGGACAGACAGCCAGACUGGGACUGAGACACGGCCCAGACUCCUACGGGAGGCAGCAGCAAGGAAUUUUCGUCAAUGGGCGCAAGCCUGAACGAGCAACGCCGCGUGCAGGAUGACGGCCUUCGGGUUGUAAACUGCUUUUCAGGGGGAAGAUUUGGACGGUACCCCUGGAAUAAGGCUCGGCUAACUCUGUGCCAGCAGCCGCCGUAACAC
rnacentral:rRNA from 1 species